UUGAUAUCAAAUUCAUGUGAACUUUGGAAUAAAUGUUCUUAACUGCCACAAUUGGGGGAAAAAAAGUCAUAAUUGUUCUAAAAUAAAAAUAUAAAUAAAUAAGAUUUUGGGGAGAAAUACUGUAUGACAGCACAACUCAAAUCCCAACCACCCAAUCUGUUAGCUGUUGAGAGUCUGACCUGAAUGUGUGUAUAUGUGCACACACACACACACACUGAAUGAUUUGUUUAUUAUGUUUUAUGGCAGGAAAUAUCAUGAGACCCAGGCAGAGGAAUGUCAUGAAGCUAAAGCAAAUACAAGCAGUAAAGGUGUGUAAGUGACUGACGCACGAGCUCCCAGCAGCCCUUGCACCAUGUUUACCAAUUCAGAGGUGGGACAGAUGACCAAUACUGGCAUUUCCACUGAUAAACAGUGAUUUUCUCCCGCCAAUACCACGCGUGACAGAAGUAAUCAGUCAAAGAGGAAACGAGGUUUCGGUCUGACAUCUGCAGACUCCCACAAACACUUCCCGGGGUCAAAGGUCACACGGAGCAAAGUAAGAGUGAAAAACUGAAGCGUAGCCACAUCAUUGUUCUACCUCUCCUGCUUCAGCAAAGCUGCGUGCUGAGGGACAGGAUCAGGACGCAGGGAUCACUGGGAAUAAAUCUGCUUUCUUUAACCACUUACACAACACUGCAGUCCGAUCUACAACAAACGAUUACAAGAUACUCUAGAUGGAUUCCACACACUUCAGCACUGGUCACUUCAUAGACACCCAUCAGUGAAUAUUUGUGAGGUGAGCAUAAGCACACAGCGCUCAAACACUUCCAAACACCAAAACACACGUCUGCUAGAGACUCCCACAAGACUGAUGAAGCGGAGGAACACAGCAUGAUUUCAAGAUGAGAACUAAUCUCAAAUAUCAAACUGAGACA